UUCUCCCUAACCCACAAGUUCUUGAAAAGUUUAAGGUCACUCAGGCCCUAUUAGNCCUCCUCCAAUUAUUCUCCCUAACCCACAAGUUCUUGAAAAUUUUAAGGUCACUCAAGCCCUAUUGGCAAGCAAAGGUCUAUGUGUGAUCACAUCUUGGAGAUGUAGUCACAUAUUGACAAGUCGGGAGAGUUGGGUGUCAAAGUCUUGUGAAAGUUGGUGGUUCAAUCACUUUCAAAGUCACAUAGUGAGUUCCUUUGGGACUCCUAUGAAACAAACUAUGACAAGACCCUUA
rnacentral:lncRNA from 1 species